rnacentral:rRNA from 1 species
GACGAACGCUGGCGGCGUGCUUAACACAUGCAAGUCGAACGGUGAAGGGAUCAGCUUGCUGGUUCUGGAUGAGUGGCGAACGGGUGAGUAACACGUGAGUAACCUGCCCCCUUCUUCUGGAUAACCGCAUGAAAGUGUGGCUAAUACGGGAUAUUCUGCGCCUGCUGCAUGGUGGGUGUGGGAAAGAUAUUGUUUCGGUGGGGGAUGGGCUCGCGGCCUAUCAGCUUGUUGGUGGGGUGAUGGCCUACCAAGGCGGUGACGGGUAGCCGGCCUGAGAGGGGGGACGGUCACACUGGGACUGAGACACGGCCCAGACUCCUACGGGAGGCAGCAGUGGGGAAUAUUGCCCAAUGGGCGCAAGCCUGAUGCAGCGACGCGGCGUGAGGGAUGGAGGCCUUCGGGUUGUGACCCUCUUUCGCAAGUGAAGCAGGCCUGUCCCUUGGGGUGGGUUGACGGUAGCUGGAUAAGAAGCGCCGGCUAACUACGUG